GACGUAGGGGGCGAGCGUUGUCCGGAAUUACUGGGCGUAAAGGGCUUGUAGGCGGGAUGGCGCGUCGUGGAGUAAAUCUCUCGGCUCAACUGAGAGAACAUCUGCGAUACGGCCGUUCUUGAGGACAGAAGAGGAAAGCAGAAUUCCCGGUGUAGCGGUGAAAUGCGUAGAUAUCGGGAGGAAUACCAGUGGCGAAGGCGGCUUUCUGGUCUGAUUCUGACGCUGAGGAGCGAAAGCCAGGGGAGCGAACGGG
rnacentral:rRNA from 1 species